GCCGCAGAACUCAGAACCCACGGCAGACUGGAUAUCUGUAAGUGCGGGUUCGAGUCCCGCCUGAGGUU
rnacentral:tRNA from 1 species